UUCCAGAGAUUCACUUAUCCAGAGAUUUUUUAUGAGAAGAAAGGCAGAGAAGAGAUAGGGAAGGUCUUUUUAGUGUUCAGUUGCUUCCUCCCAAAUCGGGAAGAUUGUGAGAGAAAAGAACAAUGAAAGCCACGUUCUUAAUUAGGUUCCAGUUUUAACCUCGGCGGGUAUAUCUCCCACAUCCCGCCAAAUCUUCCAUCAUCUCUCCCAUAAUCGCAUAUCUGGUUAUCUUUCCCGUAUCUUCAGAUUCAACUUGAUAAGGGCUGUUGUUCAUCUUCGUUGCUCCCCAUCAGUGAUCAGCAAUCCAUUUUUGAGGUUCGUUUCCUUUUCUUGAAGAUAAACUAGGGUCUGAAGUCGGUAGUGCACAACCGUUGCAGCCUAAUACAGAAGAACUAAUAAAAGCUUUAGAAGAUGUGCAUCUUGGCUACUUGUCACGCUUCAGUUGUAUUAAUGAACGGUCUAGUGUUCUUUCUCUUGGCGAGCAGCAACGACUUGCGUUUGCACGUUUGUUGCUUUCUAAACCAGACCUGGUUCUCUUGGAUGAAUCCACCAGUAGUGCUUUAGAUGAAGCAAAUGAGGCUCACUUGUAUGACAAAAUAAACGCAGCAGGAAUCGCAUAUAUAAGUAUUGGGCACCGAACAAGCCUUCGUAAAUUCCAUAAAAAGGCCUCACCGAUGGAUCUGGACUCUAACCAGCUGAACUGGUGCAUAGAAGAACCCUUGUAAGACGGCUCGAACAUUGAUUCUUGAAUGAUUUUUCAAACUCAAACCCUAUGAUCCUCGAUUGUAAGGUGUUUCGUGGGUACAGGGUCGAACAAGGACCUACCGUGAUUGGUUACAUGGUUUUGAAUUAUUUGUAGCAUGUAAUAAUGGGUUGGGUUCUAUUAGAUAAUAGUUUGUUAGUUGUAUCUUUGUGUAGUGUAAUAUUUAUAUUCUUCCAUAUGUAAUUGAGGAGAUCAUCAAGAGUUAAAUCAUUCAGGUUCCUUUGUUAUCA